rnacentral:rRNA from 1 species
AUUGAACGCUGGCGGCAUGCCUUACACAUGCAAGUCGAACGGUAACAGGUCUUCGGAUGCUGACGAGUGGCGAACGGGUGAGUAAUACAUCGGAACGUGCCUAGUAGUGGGGGAUAACUACUCGAAAGGGUGGCUAAUACCGCAUGAGAUCUACGGAUGAAAGCAGGGGAUCGCAAGACCUUGUGCUACUAGAGCGGCCGAUGGCAGAUUAGGUAGUUGGUGGGAUAAAAGCUUACCAAGCCGACGAUCUGUAGCUGGUCUGAGAGGACGAUCAGCCACACUGGGGCGGAGACACGGCCCAGACUCCUACGGGAGGCAGCAGUGGGGAAUUUUGGACAAUGGGCGAAAGCCUGAUCCAGCAAUGCCGCGUGCAGGAUGAAGGCCUUCGGGUUGUAAACUGCUUUUGUACGGAACGAAAAGCCCCGGGUUAAUACCCUGGGGUCAUGACGGUACCGUAAGAAUAAGCACCGGCUAACUACGUGCCAGCCGCCGCGGUAA